rnacentral:rRNA from 1 species
GAUGAACGCUGGCGGCGUGCCUAAUACAUGCAAGUCGAGCGAAUGACGAGGAGCUUGCUCCUCUGAUUUAGCGGCGGACGGGUGAGUAACACGUGGGUAACCUGCCUGUAAGACGGGGAUAACUCCGGGAGACCGGAGCUAAUACCGGAUGAUAACGAGAAGCGCCUGCUUCUUUUUUGAAAGUCGGUUUCGGCUGACGCUUACAGAUGGGCCCGCGGCGCAUUAGCUAGUUGGUGAGGUAACGGCUCACCAAGGCGAAGAUGCGUAGCCGACGUGAGAGGGUGAGCGGCCACACUGGGACUGAGACACGGCCCAGACUCCUACGGGAGGCAGCAGUAGGGAAUCGUCGGCAAUGGACGAAAGUCUGACCGAGCAACGCCGCGUGAGCGAUGAAGGCCUUCGGGUCGUAAAGCUCUGUUGUCAGAGAAGAACAAGUACCGGAGUAACUGCCGGUACCUUGACGGUACCUGACCAGAGAGCCACGGCUAACUACGUGCCAGCCGCCGCAGUAACAC